CUUCAAUCCUGCAAUUGGUAGUUCAAGUGUGAGCGUACGUCCCUGCAACUCUCUGUGAUGUUGAUGCAAAGAUCAGGCUGGGUGAACGUUUGGUUAUUGAUGAUUCUACUGGUGGCAUCUCUGUUGGAGGGCUAAUACUGAUUACAGUCCUUUUACAGUUUUACGUCCCGUCCUUUAUUUAUUUGCGAUGGGAAGCUCUUCCUGGACUCUGUCAGAUCGUCUUGCUGGUAUGGGCUUUCCGUUUUAGAUGGAGCAUACAUUUCAGAAAAUGGUUUCUACCUGAAGUGGGAACCGUGUGUGCACAACCAGGUGGAGGGGUCAGUCCAAUAGCUCACUGCCUUUGG